CCAUCAUUGAAAAAUUUACCGUUGAUAUUUCGCGACAAAAUUAAAGUAGAAAAUAUAUCGAUGAAAUCAAAUAUGAAUUCUGUUUGCUAACACAAGUUAUCGACUUCAAUAUAUACAAUGGACUGCGUAUCAAAAGAAACCCUCUGCUUAGUGUGGGAUGUUAUUUCAAAAACAGGCUUGUUUGCCUUCGUCGCCAUAUUUGUGCUGUAUUUACCCCUGGGAGAUCCCCGGGUACAAUGUUCUGGGAAACUUCACAGCUCUCGAGAAUGUCAACCAAUAACGUUAUGUGAUGUGUACUUCUUCCUCGUUCAAUCCGCCAAUAACUUGAUGAAGUUAAUGGAGACUGUCGUCAAAACAAUAUUAGACAUCCUCUACGAGACCAAGCUGCAGUUUUAUUACAUGCUAGAGCGGCUGGAUGGAAAAGAUUUAUGUCGCUCCGUUUGCUGUAUCGCUAGUGCAGAUGGACCGGGGCAUCAUGAAGCAAAAGCGGCGACCGAAGCCCGUACUUGCAAGUGUUCUAGACGUAAAUGUAGUAAAGGAAAACUCACAUAGAUUCACUAAAUAUAAUUCACUUAAUAUGUUAUGUCACGGACUAGUAAAAAAAUAAGGACUCCGUGUCGCCUUACUUAAUAGUGUAGCACCAAAACAAGCCGAUUAACGUGUAAAUACAUAGCCCCACGCACACACUCACACUACUACAGGCCGAUGGGCGGCCAUUAUGAGAAUUGUCAUCGUCUGUGACAGAUCAGUUUGCGUCUCAAUAAAAUAUAUUAAAAAUAUCGUCGAGCGUUGUAAAAAAGUGUAAAAAUGAUUAUAAUUCUUCUUAAGGUUUUGGACCCAAAGGGAAAUCAACGGGAGAAAAUAAGAUGGCGCGGUUUAUCCAUUCUUCUGUCCAACUAUUUAACGCACACACUCACACUACUACAGGCCGAUAGGCGGCCAUUAUGAGAAUUGCCAUCGUCUGUGACAGAUCAGUUUGCGUCUCAAUAAAAUAUUUUAAAAAUAUCGUCGAGCGUUGUGAAAAAGUGUAAAAAUGAUACUAUAUAAGUAUUUGUGGCCAUAUAUGAUUAUUUAAGGGAGACAAAAUUGUGUAACUAGUAUCCCCCGUAACCGCACACACACUAGCAUAAAGGUGCUUCACUUGCUAAUAUCACGGCGCGGAGUCCUUCUUUUUAGACUCGUCCGUGUAUAUGAUAUUAUUCAAUACUUGUAUGAAUGCUGUGCCGAUUUCGAAAGUUGGUUGUAGCAGGUCGUAUUAUAUACUAGUAUACUAGUUGUAUAUUAUUUAGUCAAUGUGAGUUAGGCUAGGGUUACUAUGGAUGCGAGUUCUGACGAAAAUUUGUUCUGACGAGUACGUCCGACGUACGACGUCGUGCAUGUUCUGACGCGUUCGUCGUUGCCAGUGUAAACACUGUCAUUGGAUACCAGGCAUUUGUUUCUUCUGACGAAUCCGUAAGAACUCAUUAGAACAAUUUUUCGUCAGAACUCACAUCCAUAGUAACCCUAGCCUAAAUAGCACAGCAUACCAAUGAAUCGCUCGAUCAAUGCAAAUAUUGUAAAAACCUUUACAAAGUGGAGUCUUAAUUUAUAUUAAAUGCUUACUGCACGAUAAAUUUACUGAAACAACAUCUUUUUACCAUCAUUCUGUUUUGGAACUAAUAAUUAUAGCUAUUAGAAAAAACAGGUAAAAAUAUUUGUCUCAAACGUGAUUAUAUAAAAUAUUUGUAAAUUAUCAUUCUAAGAUUAAAGAUUGGUCUCCGCUGCGCUCGAACUUGAUACCGCACUACCUAAGACAGUAGCUUUUUUACUACGGCAACUAUUAGAUGCAUGUGUGCGUGGCAUCUUGACACUCAAUGGCAUCUUUCAAAUUUUAUAACAUACGCUUUUUAAUAAAACAAAAUAUUUACUGAUGAUAUGUGAUCCCAGUGCCUUUCUUAUUUCUUGUAGUAUUCUUUUUAAUAAAGUUUUACUACGCAACCCGACAUUUAUCAGCAAAAUUUUAUAGAACAUGUGGCACGUUAACGUCACACAUUGUUCGAGACUUGCUCGAGUACGCCCACUUGGGCCUAGUAAUAGUUGCCGCACUUUGCGACUACGCAUGCGGUAUGUAGUUGGAGCGCAGCGGAGACCAAUCCAUAAUCUAAGUUAUCAUUUGUUAUUUUGUUAGCAGAUAUUAAAAUGAACGAUAUUUGUGUACCAUUUUAAUGACAGUUAUCUUUAAAUAAGUUUGUACAUACAGUAAGGUGUAAAUUGUGGGUUUUUAAUGUUAUUGUGUUUUAAAUAUAUUUAUUUUAAUCUGCA